rnacentral:lncRNA from 1 species
AGGCUAUACAGGACAUUAUACACCGUGGUCCAUGUCUCUUGUCACGUUAGACUGAACACGAUGUCUACUCCCCACCCAGAUCUCUCCACUUUACCUCAUUUAUUCCCACCACGUUAACUUUGUUUUGUUUUGUUUGCUUGUUCGAUAGACAGGGGUGAAGUGGAAACUUAAGGGUUCUUUGCAAAGUCAGACGUGUUAGAUGUUUUGCUGGGGCAAACAUGUAAAAGUUUUCCUGAAGUAGACAUAGGUGAA